rnacentral:rRNA from 1 species
GAUGAACGCUAGCGACAGGCCUAACACAUGCAAGUCGAGGGGCAGCAUGAAAUUAGCUUGCUAAUUUUGAUGGCGACCGGCGCACGGGUGAGUAACACGUAUGCAACCUGCCUGUAAGCGGGGGAUAACCCGGAGAAAUACGGACUAAUACCGCAUAGUAUCACAAUUUCGCAUGUUAUUGUGAUUAAAGAUUAAUUGCUUACAGAUGGGCAUGCGUGUGAUUAGCUAGUUGGCGGGGUAACGGCCCACCAAGGCAACGAUCAGUAGGGGUUCUGAGAGGAAGGUCCCCCACAUUGGAACUGAGACACGGUCCAAACUCCUACGGUAGGCAGCAGUGAGUAAUAUUGGUCAAUGGACGAGAGUCUGAACCAGCCAUGUCGCGUGAAGGAUGACUGUCCUGUGGAUUGUAAACUUCUUUUAUAUGGGAAUAAAGUGAGAAACGUGUUUCUUUUUGUAUGUACCAUAUGAAUAAGCAUCGGCUAACUCCGUGCCAGCAGCCGCAGUAAUAC